AAGCCUUAAGUUAAAAAAACUAUUAACCUUCAAAGUUAAAAAUAAAAAUUUUA
rnacentral:tRNA from 1 species